AUUGAACGCUGGCGGAAUGCUUUACACAUGCAAGUCGAACGGCAGCACGGGGGCAACCCUGGUGGCGAGUGGCGAACGGGUGAGUAAUACAUCGGAACGUGCCCAGUCGUGGGGGAUAACGUAGCGAAAGUUACGCUAAUACCGCAUACGAUCUACGGAUGAAAGCGGGGGACCGUAAGGCCUCGCGCGAUUGGAGCGGCCGAUGUCAGAUUAGGUAGUUGGUGAGGUAAAGGCUCACCAAGCCGACGAUCUGUAGCUGGUCUGAGAGGACGACCAGCCACACUGGGACUGAGACACGGCCCAGACUCCUACGGGAGGCAGCAGUGGAGAAUUUUGGAGAAUGGGCGCAAGCCUGAUCCAGCCAUUCCGCGUGCAGGACGAAGGCCUUCGGGUUGUAAACUGCUUUUGUACGGAACGAAAAGGCUCUGGUUAAUACCUGGGGCUCAUGACGGUACCGUAAGAAUAAGCACCGGCUAACUACGUGCCAGCCGCCGCAGUAA
rnacentral:rRNA from 1 species